AUCCCGACUAAGUGGCCGUCCUGGGAGUUAUAGUGCCACUAGCCGGCCUCGGCUGUUCCCUGUCCGAGGCUCUUGUCAUUUCCGCUUAUUUCCUCCACGGGUGCCGAUUUCAUGUGUGUGUUCCCGAGUGCCUGAGCCGGCUCCCGAAAUGAGUACUCGUGGUUUCCGCGUGGGAACCAACCUCGAGCGCCAGUGGCCCGCCCUCUCCGGGCUGAGGUGGCUGCUGAGGCUGGGGCUGCUCCUGAGGCUUCAGGGCCGCCCGCUGCACGGCUUUCUACCUUCCCAGGUUAGCCGCGGUCAACUUCUGCCAGGCGGAGCGAGAAAUCGCAUUUUGUCAGGAUUAUCAUUGGUGGUGGCGAUUUUUAACCAGAAGCUUUAUAGCUGUUUAUCUUUUUACGUAUGCAGUUCAUUACUUCUCUGCCAAACUUCAAAUCACAGAAAUUGCGAGCUCUAUUUUGUACUUUGGGUACAUGAUGAUCAUUGUGUUGAUUUUCUUCCUUUUCAUAGGUAACUACAGAAUUACUCAGUAUAUUUCAGACUCUCUUAAGAGUCUUGGAGAUAGCCAUAAUGUAAUAAACAUCAAUUAACAAUUAGUGGAAGGAAAAGGGAACAAAGUCAUCAUGUUCAUUUUUAUGCAUUGCAGAUAAAAGAUUGCAAAGCUGAGGGACCUGGGGGGACCUUAUGUACUUAGCUACAAGACUGUCCCUUGUGAAUGUUUUAAAACAGGGAUAUGUUCCAAAGCACAGAAAGGGUUAUGUGUAAUCACCUUUGAACAGCCUCCAAGCAUAAAAAAUAACCUACUUGAAUAACUUUCAAAUUAGUAAAUUAGAUUAAUUAAAUAUGUCAUCAUAUAAGCAAUUAUAUAUGAAGGACAAGAUGUAUACUUCUCAGGAUUAUUCGUUUGGGGUUGUUACUUGGAUUCAUAUGUGAUGGGAACUUCUGUCUAGAUUGAUGCUUGAAGCAGGUGGAAAAAAAUGGAAUGUUUUAUAAAAUGCUCCACUUGGAGAAAUAAUGAAGUUGGAGAGCUCUGGGACCUUCUGAACUCAAGCAAAGUAGCAUUUCUGUCUGUGUCAUGUCAAGUUCUGGCUUUAACUCAAGUCAUAUCACUUGCAUAGGUCAGAUUGGAAAGUUCAAGGAUUUUCUCUGAUUUUAACUCUCAGGUUCAACAAAUAUAUAAAAAUAAACAAUGGACAUUUGUUAAAAAUCAAGACAUUCAGACAAAUGUAAACAUUAUCUGAGAAACCCGGCAUCUUGGUGGUGGUUCCUUUUUCUAUGUAAUAUCUAAAAUAUAUAUGACCUCUUAUGUACUACUGGUCUCAACUGCUCAGUAAAGAAGAGACCAUGUAGUCCCACUCUAAUCUCUCAGCCACCAGCAGUUCUAUUUAAAACUGAAGGCCUAAGAGCUUCUCACCAUUCUAGUCCAAGGAGUAGGCUCCUUAUGCUUUAAAAAAAAAAACAACUUUUAAUUGAAGCAUGUGGACGGAAAUGCGCAUGUAUCAUAAGUGUACAGCUUGAUGAGUUAUCACAAAGUGAACACACCUUUGUAACUAGCACCCCCACCAAUAACCAGUACAUGAUUAUCAGCCCUGAAGCCACUGUUGGACUUACUUCCACUUGCUUUCCACAGGGCACCCACUAUCUUGACUUGGCUCUAAAAGGGAGAGUGUAGGAAGGAAAGAUUGAUACGCUGAUAAAAACUAGAGUUAAGUGACAGGAAGAGGAGGGAAAGCAAGAAAAAGCACAGAAUGGUACAAGGGGAAUCAUCCAAAUGAUGUUGAAAUGAUUUCACAGAAUAGGUAUGGAAUGGUGUUAAAGAUGCAAAAGAGGGUGAAGACCAGGGAAAGGCCAUUCAAUUUUGCAAGAAUCACCCUUUGAGAGGCAGUGUUCAAUGUGGCGUGAACUGCUGCUGCCUGUUUUUUGAGGUCUUUCUGCACAAAGUGCAGAAAGAGGCUGGUCACCUCAGCCCGUAACAGAAUAGAUUAAUUUGGCCCAUCUUUGAGUUGUAUGUAAAUAGAUUUACGAACACCACAUAAUAAUACUCUUUUCUGUCUGAUUUCUUUCGUGGCUGGUUUCUUGCCCUUUAUAUUGCUUGCGAGAGCCCUCCACAUCACUGUGUGUAGAUGUGUAGUGUCUUUUGUUUUGGAUCCUCCUCCUACCUUGCCCAGUGAGUAACUAGCUUUUAUAUUUGUGUAGUAUGCAGGUUGGAUGUAUGCAGCACAAUUUCAGACUUACGUUUUCCUCAUUAUCUAACACUUUGACUCAGGUUGCCUUUUUCUGGGAGUCUUAUAUUACAACAGCUUCUUUUAAAACAGAUGUACUCUUGAAUGGUCACAUUGUCUACAAAAAUCUUUUUCUGUUCUUGGCUCCAGCAUCUGCAUUCUAGAUUCUGUCACCACACCACAUUGAACACUGCCUCUCAAAGGGUGAUCUCUUACCAAAUUAAAUGACUUUUCCUAGUCUUUGCCUUCUUUGAUUUCUUUAGUUAAUACCACUCAACAUCUAUUUUGUGAAGUCAUUUUAACAUCGUUUGGAUGAUUCUUGUACCACUCUGUGUCUUUUCUUGUUUUCCCUCCUCUUCCUGUCACUUAACUCUAGCUUUUAUCAGUAUUUCAUUACUUCCUUUCUAUACUCUCCCUUUUAGAGCUGAUUCAGUCCCAUGGCUUCACUUAUCUCCUCAAUGCUGACUGCUCCCCAACCUGUAUUUCUAACCAUAGUCUCUAUCUGGCUGAAUUCUGAACAUUUCCAUGUCCCACUGGUACUGCAAACUCACCAUGCUCCCAAAAUGAAGUUAGCACUUCCUUCUCUACAAACUGACUUAUCUUAAUUUCUUUCUCUCUUUGACUAUCAUCACUAAUCUCUGAUCUCCUUGACCUAUUUUGAAUAAAUUCUUAACAUAGCCCUUCUGUAUUAGCCCAUUCUCACGCUGCUGAUACAGACAUACACGAGACUGGGUAAUUUAUAAAGGAAAGAGGUUUAAUUGACUCAGCUCUGCAUGGCUGGGGAGGCCUCAUGAAAUGUACAAUCAUGGUGGAAAGGGAAGCAAACACGUUCUUCACAUGGCAGCAGCAAGGAGAAGUGCAGAGUGAAGUGGGAGAAAAGCCCCUUAUAAAACCAUCAGAUCUCAUGAGAACUCACUAUCAGGAGAACAGCAUGGAGGUAACCACCACCAUGAUUCAAUUACCUCCCACUGAGUCCCUCCCAUGACACAUGGGAAUUAUGGGAACUACAAUUCAAGGUGAGAUUUGGGUAGGACACAACCAAACCAUAUCACCUUCCAUGAUUGAUAGUAAUCAAUCAUAACUUCCCUAUUUAUUCUUCUUAGAAACCUCUUGUUGCCAUUUAUUCCUUUUUUUCAUACUCCUACAGUCUUUAUCCAGGCCUUUAUUUCUUUGUCCUUGGAUCAUUGCAAUAGCCUCUUACUUGGUUUGCUGAACUCUAGUCUCUGGAGUUCUUUAAGUUAUUUGAAACCAAUAAGAACAAAGACACAAUGUACCAGAAUCUCUGGGACACAGCUAAAGCAGUGUUUAGAGGGAAAUUUUUAGCACUAAAUGCCCACAAGAGAAAGCAGGAAAGAUCAACGACACCCUAACAUCACAAUUAAAAGAACUAGAGAAGCAAGAGCAAACAAAUUCAAAAGCUAGCAGAAGGCAAGAAAUAACUAAGAUCAGAGCAGAACUGAAGGAGAGAGACACACGAAAAACCCUUCCAAAAAAGUCAAUGAAUCCAGGAUCUGGUUUUUUGAAAAGAUUAAGAGAAUAGACAGACCACUAGCCAGAAUAAUAAAAAAGGGAGAAGAAUGAAAUAGACACAAUAAAAAAUGUUAAAUGGGAGAUCACCACUGAUCCCACAGAAAUAAAAACUACCAUCAGAGAAUACUAUAAACACCUCUACUAAAAUAAACUAGAAAAUCUAGAAGAAAUGGAUACAUUCCUGGACACACACACCCUCCCAAGACUAAACCAGGAAGAAGUCAAAUCCCUGAAUAAGCCAGUAACAAGUUCUGAAAUUGAGGCAGUAAUUAAUAGCCUACCAACCAAAAAAAGCCCAGGACCAGACGGAUUCACAGCCAAAUUCUACCAGAGGUACAAAGAGGAACUGGUACCAUUCCUCCUGAAACUAUUCCAAACAAUAGAGAAAGAGGCACUCCUCCCUAACUCAUUUUAUGAGGCCAGCAUCAUCCUGAUACCAUAACCUGGCAGAGACACAACAAAAAGAAUUUCAGGCCAAUAUUCCUGAUGAACAUCGAUGCAAAAAUCCUCAGUAAAAUACUGGCAAACCGAAUCCAGCAGCACAUUAAAAAGCUUAUCCACCACGAUCAAGUUGGCUUCAUACCAGGGAUGCAAGUCUGGUUCAACAUAGGCAAAUCAAUAAACGCAAUCCAUCACAUAAACAGAACCAAUGACAAAAACCACAUGAUUAUCUCAAUAGAUGCAGAAAAGGCCUUCGACAAAAUUCAGCACCCCUUCAUGCUAAAAACACUCAAUAAACUAGGUAUUGAUGGGAUGUAUCUCAAAAUAUUAAGAGCUAUUUAUGACAAAUCCACAGCCAAUGCUGGUAACAUUCCGUUUGAAAACUGAGACAAGGCAAGGAUGCCCUGUCUCACCUCUCCUAUUCAACAUAGUAUUGGAAGUUUUGGCCAGGGCCAUCAAGCAAGAGAAAGAAAUAAAGCGUAUUUAAAUAGGAAGAGAGGAAGUCAAAUUGUCUCUCUUUGCAGAUGACAUGAUUGUAUAUUUAGAAAACCCCAUCGUCUCAGCCCAAAAACUCCUUAAGCUGUUAAGCAACUUCAGCAAAGUCUCGGGAUACAAAAUCAAUGUGCAAAAAUCACAAGCAUUCCUAUACAGCAAAAACAGCCAAAUCACAAGUGAACUCCCAUUCACAACUGCCACAAAGAGAAUAGAAUACCUAGGAAUCCAACUUACAAGGGAUGUGAAGGACCUCUUCAAGGAGAACUACAAACCACUGCUCAAGGAAAUAAGAGAAGACACAAACAAAUAGAAAAACAUUCCAUGCUCAUAGAUAGGAAGGGUCAAUAUCGUGAAAAUGGCCAUACUGCCCAAAGUAAUUUAUGGAUUCAAUGCUAUUCCUAUCAUGAAGAGCUACCAUUGAUUUUCUUCACAGAAUUAGAAAAAACUACUUUAAAUUUCAUAUGGAACCAAAAAUGAGCCCGUAUAACCAAGGCAAUUCUAAGCAAAAAUAACUAAGCUGGAGGCAUCACACUGCCUGACUUCAAACUAUAUUACAAGGCUGCAGUAACCAAAACAGCAUGGUACUGGUACCAAACUAGACAUAUAGACCAACAGAACAGAACAGAGGCCUCAGAAAUAACACCACACAUCUACAACCAUCUGAUCUUUGACAAACCUGACAAAAGCAAUGGGGAAAGGAUUCCCUAUUUAAUAAAUGGUGUUGGGAAAACUGGCUAGCCGUAUGUAGAAAACUGAAACUGGACUCCUCUUUACACCUUAUACAAAAAUUAACUCAAAAUGGUAUAAGAUUUAAACGUAAGACCUAAAACCAUAAAAACCUUAGAAGAAAACUUAGGCAAUACCAUUCAGGACAUAGGCAUGGGCAAAGACUUCAUGACUAAAACACCAAACGCAAUUGCAACAAAAGCCAAAAUUGACAAAUGGGAUCUAAUUAAGCUAAAGAGCUUCUGCACAGCAAAAGAAACUAUCAUCAGAGUGAACAGGCAAC
rnacentral:lncRNA from 1 species